GCACAGGGACGACCCUGUGGCUUUAGGCAUUAUCCAUCCGGGGACGACCCCA
rnacentral:ncRNA from 1 species